rnacentral:rRNA from 1 species
AUCAGUGGCGAACGGGUGAGUAACACGUGAGCAACCUGCCCCUGGCUCUGGGAUAACUCCGGGAAACCGGUGCUAAUACUGGAUAUGACACCUUCCUGCAUGGGUUGGUGUGGAAAGAUUUAUCGGUGGUGGAUGGACUCGCGGCCUAUCAGCUUGUUGGUGGGGUAAUGGCCUACCAAGGCGACGAUCUAUAGCUGGUCUGAGAGGAUGAUCAGCCACACUGGGACUGAGACACGGCCCAGACUCCUACGGGAGGCAGCAGUGGGGAAUAUUGGACAAUGGGCGCAAGCCUGAUCCAGCCAUGCCGCGUGUGUGAAGAAGGCCUUUUGGUUGUAAAGCACUUUAAGCGAGGAGGAG